UUUGUCUUUUAUCCCAACUGUCACUGUGUUUGGAAUUUUGUAAGAAUACAAUCUUUUGGGUUAAGCAGUGUCAAUUUUUUUUCUUAUUUUUCUCUAUUCAUUCAAGAAUUAUUUAUUAAACAUUAAUAUGUAUCAGCGAGUACUAGAUACUGGAAUUAAAAAAAACUGUCUUAGCUAUUAAGAUGUCUACAGUCUACUGAAAGAGAUAGAAAACAAGCAACGACAUAAUAGCUAACAUGUAUCACAUGCUGGACACUGAAAAAUAGCUUACUGGUCUGCUCUAAUUCUCAUAACAAACUUAUAUAUGAAAGGCCAAUUUAAUUUUUUUUCUUUUUUAAAUAGAGACAGGAUCUUUCUAUGUUGCCCAGGCUGGUCUCAAACUCCUGGAGUCAAGUGAUUUUCCUGCCUCAGCUUGCCAAGGUGUUGGGAUUACAGCAGGGGACAGCACAGCAUGAAGGUCCUCACAAGAUGCUGGUGCCAUGCUUUUGGACUUCCCAGUCUCCAGAACUGAUUUAAUAAGGACUAAAAAAAUAGAAGCAACAAGUUAAUAAAUGAGAAUACUGAGGCAAGAAGAAAAUACAACUAAGAAAGCGGAAAGCUACAUCAGUCUCCUGAAGGACCUGAGGUCCAGGAAUAUUGGGAACAGUGGUGCUGAAAAUUCUAGCAAUUGUUAUCUCGAUUCCCAUCACGACAGACCUAGAAUCUACCUCCUACUACAUUCUAGAGUCACUCUCAGAUGCACUUACAAGGGUCCUGAACAGAGCGAGUAUCUUUUGGAACAUUUUUGCACUGGUGAAAAGUUGUUCUGCUUUCGUAGGGCUUUGUGCCAUGAAGUCAGUGAAUAUGCCAAUCCACUGUGCCUGGUUCAGCAGCAGGGGUUGUCUGCUCCCACAGUACCUGCUGAGCAUGCGUCAAUCCUCUUUCAGUUGAAUAUAAUUCUUAGCCACAUUAUCUUGUCUAAUAGAAGCAAAAAGCAACCAGAAAGAUUUCCUGAGGAAUUGCUGGCACAUGCAAAUGGAAACUGCUCAUUUUAAUUUGGUUGUCAUGACGUUUCUUCAGUUACCUCAUUGACGGGAAUCAUCACACUUCCUUACACUGUUUUCAGCCGUAUUGUCUGGAAAACACAGACUUGUUUUCUUAUUUGGAUAGCCUAAGAAAAAACCAUGAACAAGUCUGGAUGUUAUGGUUCUCCCGAGUGUUGCACAGAUGCAGAAAAUGUCACUUGAAGCUUUAACCUAUCAAGAGUAUAAUUGAAUGGCAGUCAAACAUUCACUGGGUUUAUUUCUUUGCCAAAGAGUC
rnacentral:lncRNA from 13 species